rnacentral:ncRNA from 1 species
UAAAAGGCAAGGAACGGGCAAAGUAGACGCCCCCGCCUCCUCCAGAGAGGGGUCGCCGUGGGCUGGAAGCGGCCUUAGGUAGGCAGGCGUUGAAGUGCGCCCGGGAGCUGGGUGGCCGAAAGGUUAGAAGCUUAGUAGGCUACCACGGGUUCGCCCCGUUAGAGGCGAAGGCGCUUUUCUUGCGCCAAAAGAGGGGGAAGGCAGAUUUUAGGUUGCCUUCCAAGCAGGGUGGGACCGCGGAGGCCCUCCGCCCCUGAG